GAUGAGGUUAUAAGUUGUUCCAAUUUGCCAAUCAAAGAAAAGCAGCCUACUCGCAUUGUGAUGGAAGCUUGCUCCGAGGUUCAAAGGGAGAGCAGUUCUCAAAAGAAGUUGUGUGCUGAUGCAACUGCAGAUGAUGACAGCCAUGAAAAUUACCUGAUUAGAAAUGAAAAAAAUCAGGAAGAAUCUGUUUCUUGCUGUGUUACACCUAUAAAUCAGUCUACUAUCUCAAUCCAAAAGUACUCGAGAACUCGAAUAGAGGGUCAUGCUACUGUGAAUGUGAAUGAUGGUGGGGAGGUAGAGAAUAGAAAUCUUGAGUCUGCUGUGGCAAAUUGUAGAUCAAGUGCCAUGAAUGGAAGAAAGAGGAAGAGAGAACAGGAGGAAAUACCUGAAAAAGUUGGUGGCAAUGGCUUUAUUAGAAGUCCAUGUGAAGGAUUGAGGCCAAGGGCUCGGAAAGAUGCAACUAGCGGUGUUAAUGUCGACAAAACAUCCCAGGAGGAGCUGCCAACAAAAGAGACGAGGAGACCUUCAAUUCAUACCCAGAGUAAGAAAAUAAUUAAAAGGGGCUCUCAUAGAUGUGACCUGGAAGGCUGCCAUAUGAGCUUUGAGACAAAGGAAGAGUUGAGGUUGCACAAACGCAAUCGGUGCCCAUAUGAGGGCUGUGAAAAGAAGUUCCGCUCCCACAAAUAUGCAAUUCUUCAUCAACG
rnacentral:lncRNA from 1 species